GACCCCCCUGUCGACCCUCUCCAUUCUCACUUUCCCCGUGUUCUCACCCUAACAUCCAUAUCUCCCUUUACCCCACUGCCAUAACCCCCCUCAUCCCUUUACCUCACUGCCGAUCACCCUCCUCCCUUUACCACACCGCCGGUCACCUCUCCUUCUUCCUUACCCACCAACCACCGUCACCCCUCUUAACACCUCCCCUUAAAACCGCCACCCUCCUCCCUUUACCUCACCGCCGACCACCUCCUCGCCGCCGCACACCCGCCGCCGGUCACCUCACCUCGUUAACCCUCUCCCUCACCUCUAGCCGCCGCUCACUUCGCCACCUUCCCCUCCUCCACAUCCGCCGUACACCGACGACCACCCCCUCCCCAUUCUUCGCCGGUAAACGCCUCCUGCCGCUCACCAUCCCCCACACCCUUCCCACCUACCCGCACCGACCACCUAACCCAGCUUUAUCACCGCCGCCGACCACCUACAUCACCCCCUCCGCCGUAAACCCUUCCUCACCACUCGCCGGCCACCCCACUUCCUCCACUACCGCCGACCACCUCCUAAACCCACACUUACAGCCGGAUUCAAUUUGGGGAUCAAACUUUAAUCGAACAAUUUUCUUUGAUCUUCUUGCUCGCGCGAUUCUCAGGGUUAAAGUGUCAGUUAGUAAUGCUUUUAAUGCCAGGUGCAGGAACUUCGAGUCGGGCCAACAAGAAACAAGGCUGAGACACUCGCUCAGGAAAGGGCCCAGUGGGACACAGGCGGGUGAUGAGGUGUUGGGUGAUGCGGAGUAGAGCGAGGAUGCAGCGAGGAUGACAACUUAUAUCUUUUAUUUAUUUUUUUAUCUUUAUGCUGUUUUUAAUCCUCGUCUAUUGGUUUGUACUUAAAUACAUUAAACAGGUUGGAUGGGUUUUGGGGUUGGUUGAAACACUUGUGGAUAGUUGUUGAACGUGAUAUUAUAUAUUAUCUUUUGCUAGUGUUUGCGUGAUUAGGCUGGUAUUUGUAGCCGCUUUCGUUCGUGUGUCCGAGGUUAGGAGUUGUUUGCUGAGCGCGUAUCGAAUUGGAGGGCUUAUGUGGAAACGACUGGCACUUUGACAGUCUCACAUACUCAGCUAAGUCGUUUCCCUUUUUGUUGUUAUACAUUAUUUUUAUUUAUUUC
rnacentral:lncRNA from 1 species